rnacentral:rRNA from 1 species
UACGAAGGGUGCAAACGUUGCUCGGAAUUAUUGGGCGUAAAGCGCACGUAGGCGGCUUGGCAAGUCGGAUGUGAAAUCCCUCGGCUCAACCAAGGAAGUGCAUCCGAAACUGCUGAGCUUGAGUACUUAAGAGGAUCGCGGAAUUCCCGGUGUAGAGGUGAAAUUCGUAGAUAUCAGGAGGAACACCGGUGGCGAAGGCGCCACUCUGGGCCGGCACUGACGCUGAGGAGCGAAAGCGUGGGUAGCAAACAGG